UACAGAGGGUGCGAGCGUUAAUCGGAAUUACUGGGCGUAAAGCGUGCGUAGACGGUAGCGUAAGUCAGAUGUGAAAGCCCCGGGCUCAACCUGGGAACUGCAUUUGAGACUGCUCUGCUCGGGUGCGGAAGAGGGAAGCGGAGUUUCCGGUGUAGCGGUGAAAUGCGUAGAUAUCGGGAAGAACACCCGUGGCGAAGGCGGCUCUCUGGGACGGUACUGACGCUGAGACGCGAAAGCGUGGGGAGCGAACAGG
rnacentral:rRNA from 1 species